CGACGGGCCGCCAUCCCUACCGUUUACAGACAGCGUCCAUCUCACUGUAGCCUAAGGAGAUUUGCUAGUUUGAGUCCUGGGAGAUGAGAUGGGGAAGAUGGGCCCAAGCUGCAACAUGAAGGUCCAUGAUGAACAGUUGGCAUCUCCUACAGUGCCUGCCACUUGGUAAUGUUCAAUGCAGCCAAGGGAGCUAAGGUAAUGAACAAAACAGAGAAGUUCCUACCCUCCCUGAUGUUCAUUCUAGCAAAUGGAGACAGAUGAUAGAAACUGCACAUCAUUGAGCAAGAGGGACACCAUGGAUAAUGGAAAGAUCUACGGCAAGGCUGGCUGUCUGCCCUGUCUAAGGAGGACGUACUGGACCAUCCUGCUCUGCACAUCCAGAUGUGUCCAUGAAUACAUCCAUAAAACGAUGGCCUGUGGAAUCCUAUAGGAAAAUGAUCCAGAGCCUGGGCGGUCAGAAG
rnacentral:lncRNA from 10 species